rnacentral:lncRNA from 1 species
AAGCAGCAAAGGGCACUGUACACCCCAAAGCUGUUUUCUCUGUUUCAUGCAGAGAUGGCUUAAUGAAAUGCUUCUGAAUGUAGGAGUGAGACCUCAGCAUCCAUUCCACCUUCUGAAAUACCUUCCUGGCACUGCUGAGUUGUCUUCCUAUGAAGAAAGGUUGAGGGAACUGGGCUUGUAUAGCUUGGAGAAGGGAAGGCUCCAGGGAGGCCUCAUUGUGGCCUUCCAGUACUUGAAGGGAGCGUAUAAACAGGAGGGGGAAUGGCUGUUUGUGAGGGUGGACAGUGAAAGGACAAGGGGGAAUGGUUUUAAACUGAGACAGGGGAGGUUUAGGUUGGAGAUGAGGAGGAAGUUUUUCCCCCAGAGGGUGGUGACGCACUGAACAGGUUGCCCAAGGAGGCUGUGGAUGCCCCAUCCCUGCAGGCAUUCAAGGCCAGGCUGGAUGUGGCUCUGGGCAGCCUGGGCUGCUGGUUGGCGACCCUGCACAUAGCAGGGGGUUGGAACGGGAUGAGCACUGUGGUCCUUUUCAACCCAGGCCGUUCUAGGAUUCUGUGAUUCUCUCUAAAUUCUGUUUGACUGUGCAAGGGCUGUUGGUGAGGUACGAUCUACGGAGCUUUCUGAUGGUGGAAGCUAGCUAAAUUUCAGUUUCUCCCUGAGUCACUUCUAGGAGACUCCCCCUAUCCUUGCAGCCCGUGGCAGCCCAGAGGUGGGUGUCCAGGGGGAUCAGGCUGCUUCUGUGAUGGGUGCAGUGCAGGCAUGGGGGUGGGUGACCUGUCACACUCCUUCUCCCAUAUAUGUCAUCUGCAAAAGGAACAGACCUGGGUACAUGUGCCAACCCACCAUCUGUCAUGCUUCUUCCCCCUUGGCUCUUUUUAAUUCCAG